UUUCCGUAGGUGAACCUGCGGAAGGAUCAUUCAUGAGAAGUGUUUUAUGGCACCUUUUUUAAUCCAUCUUCGCCUUGUGUGCAAUGUCAGGGUUGAUCUUUCUCUCGAGAGGAUCGGCCCCAAACAUCUACUAUAUCUCAACUAUUUGUCUGAAAAGUAUCAUGAAUAAAACAAUUCAAAAUACAACUUUCAACAACGGAUCUCUUGGCUCUC
rnacentral:misc_RNA from 1 species